UUGGUGGGAAUAUCUGUUUCUAAAGAAGGCUUGGGAAAAGAAUCGGUGAAAAGAAUAUUUUGUGUACUUCUGAGGUCUUUGUGUCUCUCAGAACUAAUUCUUCAAUUGCAGUGUAGGAAACUUGAUCAGGUAGAACAUUUUUGACAUCUUUUUUCCAAUAGGCAAGUAGAAGUCUUUCUGUUCCACUUUGUCAGUCAUGGUCCGUGAAAUACCAUGGUCCACCAAUACCUCUCUGUUGCUUAACUUAAAAUCAAUGCAUCUUAAGAUCAGUGUUAUAAUUAAUGAUAACAUUUGUGGUAACUUUUAUUAUCAAAUCUGAUAGAUUUGCUUUUUUAGCAGCUGUCUGUGUUAGCCAUGUAGAUCCUGUGCAGCCGUUUACUGAGUGGCAAAUUGCUGAGAUUCAAAAUCAUUAAAGUGCUCAGAAAGUUCCUCAUAAGGCAGGAAGCCAAGCAUAAGACAGCACCUUAGGAAGAAUCAAAUAAUCAUUUGAGUAGGAAGGAAAUUUUUAAGGUUAUCUAGUCUGACUGCCCUGCAAUGAACAACUGCCCUUACAACUCAAAGGAUUCUAUGGUUUCACAAUAACAAUCAGGAAAAUAUGGUUCUAAAUUUUGAUACUUUUGAGUUCUACUGAUAAUAUUACAGAGGGAGAAAGAGACAUAGAAAGAAAAACGAGCACAUCUGUUUAAAAGCUCUCAUAUAUUUUCCUUAGUAUCAAAUGAUUAAUUUGUUGAAAGAAAGCAUAAAUGGAUUGUGAACAACCAGUUAAUUUACAUUUAUAAACAAUCAAAAAUCCUAUUGAAGAAGAAAAAAAGAAAAAACAAAAUUAAAAACAGCAGCAAGAAAAAUAACUAGAAUUUGGGUCUGAUCCUUAUUACAAAUUGAGAGUAUUACAGAUUUCAAGUGUGACUGCAAUCUCCCAGAAUCCUAGUGUCUGACUUUCCCUUUUUCAUUAUUGUUAAUUCUGCAGCUUUGUGUUCUCCUUCUUUUUUCAGAAAUGAAGAAAAAGCUCCCUCAGGAAUCAAGACAAUCUUAACUAUUUCAUGGGAACUAGAUAAUUAAAUUUAUAUCUUCAGGAUAUUGUCCUUUUCAAAAGCACUUUAAUGAAUGCUGUGAAAUCAUAAUUUUUCAGUAAACCUGCAAGACUUUAGUAAGACAAAACAUGGUGAUUGAAAGACAUUUUGGCAAUGACUUCAAAAAUAAAUAAUCUUUAAAUUCUAUAAUUUCUAGUAUUCUAAGAGGAAUACGUAAUGGAAGAAUUAAAAGAGAAUAAUAAAAGAAUUAGGAGAUAGAGACUGUUGGAAAGAACUGAGAAGUGUAGAAAGAUUAGUGAAAAGAAGUGGUCCAGUAGAGAAAAUAAACAACAUUGAAGGAUUUUUAUAUGAAAGAAAGUAGAGAUGCAUGAAGAAGUGGUUUGUCACAGUGAGUAGUGUAAGUCACUGUGUCACUAUGUAGCUGAAUGUUUUGCUCUAUUGUAAGUAAAAAGCUAAGGUUCUUUAUGAAUGUUCACCGGAUGAUUGUUGAAGGGGAACCAUAAUGUUUAUUCAAAGGCAACAGUAAGUAUUUCAGAUCUAUUCAGAUAUAAUCAGGAAAAGAAAUAGAAGUGAUGAUAAAGUAUGACAUGAUAUUGCAUAUUAGAUAAAUAGAGCAAUAUAAAAUAUCUUGUUAUUAUGAGAAAGGUACUUUGCUAGGAUGUUGAAAAAAGAAUCUUAGUCACCAAUCAGGGAAAAAAGUCGGAGGUAUAAAUGUGCGUUAUCCUUUCAUGGACUUGAUUUGCAGAUUUCACUUUAAACAAAAUUAAUAUCCUUUGCACUCUUUAUUUUUCAGUAUUGACAACUAAGCCUCUUGGUAAGAGUUGCAUAGGUGUCAAAGUUUAAGUAAUGAAGAAAACAUUAGCCAAGAACAUGCUACUAAGUUUCCUUUUUGAAAUAUUCUGUUGUAAGAUCUUGGGGGAAGCAGGAAAAUCCAGGCUGCAUCACUUUCUAAAUAUUAAUAUAGAUAUGUAAAUGAGUAGUUGCAGUGGAAUUGCCAGGCCACAGCCUGAACCAGUACAUGGCACAUGAGUGCCUCGAGCUGGGGGAGCCUAGAUCCAUCCUUCUCUCUUCCCAUCCCUGUGGUGCUUCUGGGAGCCCAUAUGCAGUCAAUCUACAUGGGUUUCCUCCCCUCCCUUCCAGCACCUGAGUUCAAAUUGGAGAAGGCUGCAUUCCUCAGCUCACCCUUUUUUCCAAACUGCAGGGAGGGGUGAGUUAAUUCCUCUUUCUUUGAUAUCUUUUUCUGUUGUGCUUGUAUCUCAAAUAAAGGCUUUGUUUGCUUUAUGGUAGUGAUGAAUAGCCUGCAGAUCCAUGACAGACCAAUGCCAAAUUCAAGUGAAAUAAUAACAUUUGGAAGAUUCCAAGAUGAUAAAGAUUCAUGCAAAUUGCAGACCUCAGGAAAAAAAGGAAUACACAAGAGAAUAUAAAUGAACUCCCUGUUGUCAAGAGAAACAACAUACCAUGGAAUUAUUGUGUUAUUCCAUCACUUUUUCCAAUGAGCAAAGAAAGCUCUCCUGUUUAAAAGCCUGGAAUGUGUUUUUUGUUGUCCCUUUAUGGUGUUAGGAGUUCUGCUUCAUAUGGAGGAGUAAAUGAAUUCAGAGAAGGCAAUAAAUAAAUAAUUACCUUGCCACAAUAUCUCUGGAAAAGUGAAUGUACUGACGUGUGUAGUCACUUUGGUGACAAAAAAAGUUGCAUAUAUCACACAAUGACUGUAAUAUCGCCCAGUCAAAUUGCAUUCAGACACAAAGGAGUGAUGGAAAGAGACACUUUAGACCAAGAGGAGUUGUUUCCAGAUGAUUUUCUGUGUACCUUUGAAAUUCUUCUUGGGUAAUUCCAUGUCCCAUCAAAAAAUUGUUAUACUCAAAGAUAUCAGUGACUCUGAAUGUAACUAUCAAAAGAAAAAUGUAUUUGGAAGCAUCCUUAAAAGAAUAUUUAAGAGUUUUUGAAUAUCUAUUAGACUAUGAAUGAAUAACUUAUAAUAGAAGGAAAUAAUAGUUCUCCAUUUUUCCACUUCUAUAGUAAGAUGGAGUAGUAUAAUGAAAAUCCUUAAUAAGAUUUAGGAUGGCUUAUUUUGCCUUUGAUGUUAUUUUGGACUUUACAGUUCCAGUGGCAUUGUAGUCUUUUCUGUGAGACUCUAGAGAUAUGUUCAGUGCUUUGAAAUGAUUGCGAAUAAUCCAUUUAUUAGCAAGUAGUUAUUUAUGUGUUUAUGACUAUUUUCAGGCCACUUAAUGAAAACUGUACUUUACAGUUCAUUUCUCCAGCAAUCUGGGAAUAAAUUACAGUGUCAUUAAAGCUGGAGUGGCAGAAUACACAAUUAAUGAAUUGCAAAAGUAUGCUGGUAAAGCGAUGCUGGAAACAGUAUGAGAUUAAUAAAGCUGCAAUGCAGUUCAAGGUGGAAUUUCUGAGAGAAAGCCUGUGUCACUCAUAGUCAUUUUUCUGUGUUAAUAUAGUAUUUCAGGUUGAUUUUAAGAGUGACAUCAAACUUUUUACAUACAAGGUGUGCUCCAAAAGUAAUGCCUCCUAUUUUAUUAUGUUGGCCCACAACAUCAGAGGCAAAUGUUAGUGGUAUAGCAGUAGAGGUUGAACCUCCCUAACAAUAUUCUGCUAUGCUUUGUUGCUCUGUGACACAAGGCUGCAGGACAGACAAAAAGGCACGUGACAUAGAAGUGCAUAUGAAGCAAAGGUGUGUCAAUGGAUUUUUCCAUGAGGAAAAAACUCAUCCAUUUGCAGACCAACUGUGGAUGUGAGCACAGUGAGGUUGUGGGUAAUGUGUUUCAGCAGUGGUGUCAGUGACAUGUAAUAGGAGGCAUGUUUUGGACAGCCAUACAGAUUUUCAUGAGAGCAGCGUGCAGGCCCUUGUUUAUUGCUGGCAAAAAAUGCAUAGCAAAUGGUGGUGACUAUGUUGAAAACUAGUGUUUUAUAGCUGAGAAUUUGCUCUAUCACAUAGUGCUGUUGUGCUCUUUGUAGAUAGUUUCUUUAUAGUCUCCAUGUAAAUAAAUAGGAGGCAUUACUUUCCGAGCUACCAGCGUAGGAGGAUUUCUUAUCACAGGAAUGCAGGCAAAUCUAGAGCAAAAAAUGGCAGCUCUAACCACUCAAAAACAUUUCAGAACUAAGCAGGUAGUAGACUGCAUCAGCACAUACAAUUAAUCACUACAUGAUAAAAUUCACUACAUAAUACAGCUAAAUAUCUCAUCACAUGGUACAACUCACCACAUCAUAUGAUUCAGCAUCUUAGCCCAAACCUAAUUCAAAAGAACCUGCAAAACUACCACUGGAAGUGUUAAAUAAAUUUUACAUUAAACGACUCUCUAUAAAAAACUUUUUCAAUGAUAAUUUCAACAAUAUGAUCAUUAGUAUUCACUUUAUUUGAUAAUAGUUUCAAAAAUAUUGUAUUAAUUAUUAUUUAAUGAUGUAAUAAAAAGCUUGAUAUUAGAAGACUUCACAAUGAAAUACUUCAUGCAUGUAGAUAUCAGAUUUUUUGUCAGAAAAAUUAUUACUGAAAAUUACAAUUUAAAUAAAUUGCUUCCUGCUUAUUUUGUGGUGUUUUCCAAAUGAAUAAUCUGAAAAACAGCGUACAAUCUAAAUAAUAUAUUUGAUUUCACAUUUUCCCUUUUUCAGUAGCUGUGGUGAAAACCUGUAUUUGUAAAGCUGAUAACUUGAUUAUCGCAUAACCAACUGUUGCUCUAAAUGAAGACAUCUCACAUAUUUAAAAUUAAUAGUAUACUACUGAAACAGUCUUGAAAUGUAGGUUUUAUGAUUUAUCAAAAUAAUUUCAACCGAUAAAAAUUAUAUAAUUAAGACAUAAAAUUCAUUUAAAAAUUUAAAACUGCAGUAACAGGAAUGAUGUUUUUUUGGUUGAAAGCAAUAAGCAUGUUUUGGAACUUACAAUAUUUAACUCAUUUGAAAUAUAAAACAAAUUAAAUCUAGGGAACUUUUCAAAAGCAUAAUCAUUUAUGAUUAUGUAAAAUAGAAUAGUCAACAUUUAUGUGUUAAGGAUGGUGACAGGAAUAUGUUGGCCCAUUUAUCUGUUCUUAAUUAUUCAAAAAAAAAAAAAAAUCAAAAUCAGGUCCCAGAUUACUGCUCAGAGGUAGACACAAUAAGAAAGAGACAAAAAAUGCAGAAGUUGCACUGUGUCUGGUAUUUUCCUUGCCCUUUAUGUAUUAAGUUCUUCAUCUUUUAGUAUUGUCCCAUGUUCCUUAUUCUUCACUGUCAUUAUUCAAACCAUACAGAUAUUUACACUCAUAUUAAUAAUGUAUGUUUAUGUGUGUUUCUAUGUAAUAUCUUGACCUUCAGAUACGCUUUCCAAUGUAAUUCUGUUUGGAUUUAGCCUAAUCUCUACUCCAAGGAUAACAAUGAUUUAGUAGUAACAAAAGUAAUAGAUUACAUAUAAUAAUAGAAAUAAUAAGGAAUAUUGUCUUGUUCUGUAUUUGUUUAGCAUUAUUGCAUGGGGAUGUUACGUUGGGAAUUAUGACAGUUGAUAACAAAGACAGCAGUUUGAUCAGAGAGAUACAAGCUAGCGUUAAACAAACUGUUUUGGAUACUGAAUUACUUCUGUGUAAUUAUAGACCUCAGAGCAGGCUGCUGAAGCCAUCCAGGUCCUGCAAAAAUACUUACUUGAUUCAUUUAUGUUGACUUUUUACUUCAGUGUCUUUGAAAAGCUCCUCAGCUAACCCAUUUAACUCCCAGCAGCAAGCACUUGUGCACACAGGACUGAUAUGAAAUAAGUGGUCAAUAUGAAACACAUUCAUUCAUAGAGAGACUCGAACUGAUUAUACUGGUGAGAAGAACUACCACAACUGGUGAUCACUGUCGUAUCUGUGAAGAUAUGCAUCACGACGUGUUAUAGAUGUACAUCUGCAUGUGAAGUAUCAUAACAAGCAAGCCCACAACACUGUUUAUCCCAUGGUGAGGGUGAAUUUGGCUGUAGAUAAAGAAAGGCUGUAUGCUUGGCCGCGUGGUAAUGCUUCUCUCCUCUUCCUGCACUGUGCAGCUUGCUUACUUUAUCUCAAUUACACUAUCCUGCUAUCUCACUGGUCUCUCUAAUCUCAGAGGUAGGGCUUCUUUCCUGUUAGCUGGUGUUAGCGACACUACAUAUGCAGUGCCAAUUAACUUAGAGCUAUCUCAGGGGAGAAAGGACUGUUAAUCAGCAGUCCUUAAAAUUCAGCAUAUAAAAUACACAUCGCCAGUAACCUGAAUAGUCCUGAAGCAAUUAUGGUAAACCCACAACUCUGACAUUUCCAGUCAUAGUAUAGCAAUCUUCAGUUGCAUGCCAUUUUUUCACAGUCACAUUGAGAAGAAAUGAAGCAGUGCUGUCCUUUUCCUGAUGUCUACUGUUUUGAAAAAAAGGAUAAUGUCAAGAAAAUUUGACAAGAUGCAUGCUUUUAUUUUGUUUCUUAAGGAUUUCUUUUAAACAGUUGAAUUGUUUCCAAACAGCUAGACAAUCAUUUAAGGAUACGGAAUAUUUAGAUUUUCUAGUUAGCUAUAUAUAUAAAGUGUAGACUGUCUCUCAAUUUGUGCCAUACUGAGACAAAUAUUUGUUCCAGUAAAGUACUUCUGCUGUAUUUUUUCCUUAACCUGUCUUUCCUUCAUUCCUUCCUUCCUCCCUUUAUGAUCUCCUUUCUCCCUCUCUCAUCCUCUAGCUCUUCCUUUCCCUCGCUCUCCGUCUUCCUUUUUCAUCUUCCUUUUCUUCUUGUCUUUCCCAUUAAGAGGCCAGCUGGAGAGGCUUUGGCUCAUUCAUUUCUAGAAAUCCAACUUUUGCCUCUACAAAGAGCUCCUGUUGAGUUUUUGUUGAAUGCCCUUAAUUGUCUGGUUCCUUAUGAAAUCACUGAUGAAGUUCUUGAGGAUAAAGCGUAUGUAAGUGGAUUCUUUAAAUCCAUACAUUCUUGGUGAAUAACAUCUUGUCUCCCCUGAAUCUCAAGUGCAAGGGAAUUUCUUUCAAGUGAGAACAUUCCAUUUUCUCUUGCAAUGCACCUUUAAAGUGAAAUAAAGAUUAACUGUUUUUUUUUUUUUUUUAACAGAGUUCACAGAAUAAUACCCAUUCACUUUAUAAAUUCCAACUAUGGAAUCAAAACAAAGUCAAGCCAGUCCAUGGCUAAGUACGAAUUACUAUUUCACUCAUCUUCUCUCUAUUAUUAUAACUCAUAAUCAAUUUUUAUUAUAAAUGCUAAUCAUGGAUCUUGCUCAGGGCUGCUAUAUGUUACUGUAACUCAAAAAAAAAAAAUUAUGGACAUAUAAUACAAAAAACAAAACAAAAACCCCACAAAACAAAAAAAUCUUAAUGACCAGUGUGUUUCUGAAAUGUUUGUGAGAGUAGGAAGCAUACUGGGCAGCUGUGCUUGCAGGCAGUUGCUUUGAUAUUAACUUCCUACUUCUUAGUAAAACUGGCUCCAGGAAUUGUAGAUAUGAGUGCCUUAGAAUUCAGCAUAUUUUCCAUUUAUGUCCCUACAUAGCUGAGACCAGCCUGAAAUUCUUUCGUAUUCCUCUAUUCACUGGACAACAUUAAUGUUCCUUGUUCUCCUCCAUGACACCAAUUAACACUUCUGGGAGACAAGAUUUUGAUUAAAAGGUGGAGAGAGAAGAGAAAUUUUCAUAUAUACUUCUUUGAGAGGAAAACAAAGCAAGAAUUGCCAAGUCCAAAGAGAGAAGAAUCCCUCUGGCAGCCCUGGAUGAGAGGAAUGUUCUUUAAUUAGCACAGAAGAUGAUUGUCUGCUUAAGUGGUGGGCAAUUCUACAUCAUUCAGAUAAGGUUUGAUUCCUCUCCCUGAAGGAUUGACAGGGAAAGGAAAAGAAGAGUAAAGGGAUCCACCAACAGAUGGAUGCAGAGUAUUGGUCUUAAAGACAGCCUGUUCUGCUGGAAGGAUAUAGUAUAUCCUCAAAGGUGGAUCUCAAUAAGGAUUUAUCAGUGAAUUGUGAGAGAACGUUUAGUUUUAGAAGAGUUAAUUUGAAGGACACUGAAGAAACAAAUUAUCCCCAAAUCAAUGGUAAAGUUAUUAAGCAUGAAGAAAUCCUACGUGAUAUACCCAAAUCCAUCCAGUGAAACAAGGAACACUCCACUUCACCCCAAAGAAAUAAGGCACCUUCCAGAAAAAGAAUUUGUUGUUUUGAUUAUUUAAAAAAGGUAUGUUAUGAACACAGGGUGACACUAUUUUUGCAUUUGAUAUUUCUUUCUUUUGUUUCCUGUGGAAAUAUUUCUAGUAAAUAACACUCUUUUGCAAGGCAGCAGACAUUCUGAAUUGGAAAACUAAUCUAUAAAAAUAAACAUAGUCUGGCCAUUGUCUCUGCUUUUUCCUUUACUAGUCAAAGAAUUUGAGCUGCGCUAAGUAUUUUCACAGGAGUGAAAUAAGAUCAGAUCUUUACGACUUAUGAUUAGUUCAUAAAGUAUUGUUAGGGAAAUUUAAAUCAUUACUUUCACUGUUUUGUAGGUUUUCAAAUUGCACAAUUCAUCAUUUCUUUGUUAUCAUGCUAAUCUGAUGUGAACCUAACACUGUUUAGUGCCACAUAUUUGUUAUUUUUUGUCAUACAGUGCGUGCUGUAAAAAUUAAUGAAUGGCACAUACUUGCACUCAUUAAAAGUAACUUCUAAAUCUGCUAGAAAAAAAUUCAAAGGUGGUAGAAACCUUUUAAAAUCAUGAUUAGCCUGAAGGCAUAAAAAAUUAUUUGUUUACACUCUGUCUGAAAUGAUAUUGGAGAUUUAAAAAAGGGUAAGUAGAAUCAGAGUCUGCUAUCAUGUACUUACUAGGGAGAAAAAAAAAGUGUUUCUAAAUUUGCAGAGUGUGUUCUACUUUUAGACCAUACAUAUAAAAAACGAAAGGGUCUUCUACAACUCAGAGCACAGAUUUAUAGGCUCUAAGGUCAAAAAGAAUCACAGUUAUCAACUUAUCUGACCUACAAAAUAACUUAAGCUAUUAAAGUUCACCUCUCAUUCCUGCAAUAGACUAAUUAUUCUUUCCUGCUGUAUAAGUGAAUGUUAUUGAGCCAAAUGUGAAUUGCUUUGUUUGUCCUUGGAAAGACCCUCUAGAAAAGGUGUUACUAUCCUGCUAUAAACCAAUUCAAUUGAUUAAAAUCAUCUGAGUCGCUUGCUUCCUCACAGUGAGAUUGCUUCAGCUGUCUGCAUUUUUACUAUCAAAUAUGAGCAAAAGGAUUGCUUAUAUCCCCGAGGAGAAGUUAUCUGACUGCAUCUAUCUUAUUACUAUCAGGCUAGCAGUUUGGUUUAGAAAAACCCCGAAUCAGGCCUGCAAUGUUAGGAUUUAUCUUCAUACUGUUUUUUGUUUUGUUUUGUUUUGGAGACAGUUCAAUGAUAUUUGGCUAGGAAAAGUAUGUUUUCUAUUAUCAGAUUGUUACCUACAUCUUUUUUAGAACUCAAUAAUUAUAUCUAUACACUAAGCAUGUUAGCAAUGUGUGCAAUUUGGUGUACACUGAUACAUUGGUUAAAUGUAUUUUUUUGUUUGAUUUGGUCUUGCAUCAAAUAAUUUUAAUGCCCUAAAACAUAAAUACAUAAAAAAAGAAUUAAGAAGUCCUUGUUAUUACUACAUUUUAUCUUUCCAUGGGGGAAAAAACAACAACAAAAAAAGAUAUUGAGACAUGAGCUUGAAUAUUUAUUCCUGCAAAAACAAGAAUCCCAUAGUGCUAGAACACAAGGUAUUGCUGGAUUUCCUCAAAGGCUACUGAGCUGGCACAAUAGAAACAGGAAGGGCUCAGCUUUCUUCUCAAUGAUUUGAAAUUUAUCAUCCCUGUGACCAACUUUGAGUGCAAUAAUUUAAUUUCUAAUGCCAUCUUUUAAUAAGUCACUUGUGUGUAUAUAUUAUUUUAAGCAUGUGAAAGCUGUUAUUAAUGUCUAUGAAAACAUUUGUCUCCAUAAAUUUGUAUUUCUGCCGCAGUGCCUAGGAGCACCAACUAAACUCUGGAUAAUUUGACACAGGAUAGGCAGGAAAACAUAAGACAGACACUUGACAAACUAUUGAUAUGACAUGCUUAUUUGUACAGCGUGUAUGUAAAAGCAAGCACCUUUUCUGAUUCAUUCAUAGACUAUCUGUUGGAUGAGGUGACCUUACUUAAAUUUCCUAGCUAAACUUUCCCAAACAGAUCUCUUCAAGGCUGAACAUCACCUAAAUUGUCCUGAUCCCAAGUAGCCAGACUCCCAGGAUUCACUAAGAACGCCGGUCUGACUUUUAAAUGAAGAUUAAAAAAAUAAAUAAACAGUAGCAUCUUGUUUUUCCUGAUGCAAUAUCCAUUGCAUUGAAGGCAGAUGGAUAAGAAAAAUGGAAGCCAAAUCCUGUUAAUUAAGGAAAAAAUGAAUGAUCCUAAAAAUCCUUACUCGUUCUGUAAAAGGUAUCUGUCUCUAUUUAGAUUUUCUUUAAUUUUCACCCUGUAGCUGGACUAGCCAAUAUAUUUAUCCAAGGGGUCCUAGAAAGAUCUUCAGGAGUUUGUACCAGGGCUCAACAGCUUAAAUUUUAUGGUACUGAGAGCAAUAAAAAAAUCUUUAUUUGGUAUCUUCAUUCCGUACCAGCUACAAUAUCAGGUAAAACAUGCAUUUUGAAAUUAUAACUGUUGGCUAAAGAAAACUAGGUUAUCAGAUUAAUGUAAUUUCUCAGGUUAUAUUUGUCAUGGCUGAUGAAAAAAUAAACUAAUGAUCUUCUCACUAGCCUGUCAGCUUUGUCUUCUUAGCUAGUGAAGGGUGAAAUAAAUUAUGCUGGUAAAUAUCUUGAUUAUAGUGAAAAAUCAAGAAAAUAAAGAUUUAUGAAAUCAGAGAUAUUUCUCCCUGUAAUUAACGAUAUCUUUUUUUUUUUUUAUGUGAUUUGCAACGUUUAGUAUUGCUAAAUCUUAAGCAAUUAUUGGUGAGACAUAUGAAUAAUGCAGAUGGCUAAUUUGAUAACAUCUACUUAUUUGUGGAUAAUUUACAGUUCCAAAGUUCCCUCAUAUAUGCUAUACUUUGUAUAGCAGUAUGAGUAGUACCAGUGUUUAUAUUAAACAUUAAAAAAUGCUUCAAUAAUCAUCAGUUAAUAAAGAUGAACUUAAUCCUUCAAAUAUGCUGGAUGUGAAAAUGACUCUUUUGCAGUUCACAAAAACUUUAUUACAUUUUUUAGUCUGUUCUAUUUUUAUUUUUCUCACUUUGUGGCUUUGUCUGGAACAGUAACUAAAAUUAACAAAAGUAUUUCUUGUAUUUUUAAAUAACAGAAAUAGUGAGGUGUUGGAAAACUGUCUCUAGUUUGAGUCUGCAGGCUGAUUUCUAAACAAAAAUUUGAGUAAGUCAGGGAGUCAUCCAAACCUGGAGUGCUUAUCUAUACAGACAUCUUGUUACCGGAUGUAGAUCUAUCAUACAUGUGCAGUUAUGAAAUUCAAUACAGUACAGUUCUGAAACUUUUGUCUGUUCAGUUAGCCAAUAUUUGCAUUACUAAUCUCAUCUGCCUUUUAAGAGGUUCUGAUAAACUCAGCUGUGAAGCACGCACAGCUGUCUGCAGGCUAGGCUAUUCCUGCUGAAUGUUUUUGCUGAAUAAAACCCUUAAAAAUACUGAAUAUUGGAAAGGGAAAAGGAAAAUUCCUUACUUUGUAAGUAAAGCAUGGGGUUAGUACAAUUCUAAUUUUAGAGUGGAGUUUGUGGUCUCUGGAAAUACUUACGUGACUUUUUAGUUAUAAUUUAGAUAAGCAAAAUUAAUUAAAAUGAAGACAACAGAAAAUGUUUAAUAUUAAAUACGAAGCUUCUAAGAAAUUUGUCUUGUUAUAGCAUAUAGGGAAAUUUAUAUGAAAGUUGAAUUUGAGGCAGACCAUGAUAGAGAGUUGGCUUUAUAUGUUUUCCUACGCAUAUUGUUCUUUGUAAAGCGAAAAUAAGACCUGCCAUUGUAACUCAUGUGAUUUCUAUUAUUUUGUUCCUCAAUAUAAGCUUCAAUUGUGACUUAAAGAGAAUUUGAUUUCUUUGUGCAUCAGUUCUCUCUCUGAAAAUGAGCACAAUAAAACUUCCUUUCCUCUAGCCAGUAUCCACCUUGUUUUCCCUUUUAAGCUAGUGAGUAUUUUGAACAAAGGCUCUUACCCAGUUUAUGAAAAGAUACUUAUUUUUCACAUUGAACUUUUUUCUUCAACAAGAAUAACAGCAACAACCGCAUUAUUAAUAAUAUAUCAGGCUCUAUUAUCUUGGUCAGGAGCCAAAGAAGGAAAAGCCCUUUAUUCAGUUCCACUAUCUCCUGUUCAGUUCAGAUUUAUCCCUGAACUGUUAUAAUAAAAAGUCUUUAAAGCAAAGAAUCAUUCAGCUUGAAGUUUUCUGCAGUAAUUAUUGCUCGUUGCAAUCCCCUUUAGAUAGCUGCAUCUUUUUUAAUGACUUAGUUCUGCACGUCAUUCCUUAGUGUUACUUGGAAAUUAUUGUGAAAAUACAUUUUGAGUAUCAUUUAAAGACAAAGACAAUGUGCAAACAAAAUAUUUGAUCUUUGAAUUACAGUGUUUGAAAACUUCUCAGUAAUUCUCUGGAUUAAGGCAAUGGUGCACAGCGAACAAAAACUACAGAAAGGAAAACAAAUGACUAUCUAUACUGCUUUUCUCAGAUAGCCCACUAAAAAUGGAGUUUACUUGCUUCAUUAAUUCCUCUUUUAUUCUUGUAGAGAUAUUUUAGAACAGGACACUGCAUAUCUAUUAAGUGAUUUCCUAAGCCAUCGUGUCUGGGGUGGAGGGGAAGGCAGGUGGGCCUGACGGGGUAGGUGGCCCCAUUGCAAGUUAAAUUAGCAGUAAGCACUCAGCUUUACUGCUGUGCAAGAAGUGAGGGUUUGAGGAUAGAGGUUUCAGGAGUGGAGGUUAACUGCUGUAUCUCCCAGUUGACACUGAAGAAGAAAAAGAAGGGAGCUGGGUAGCUGCGCUGUCUGUAGUA